rnacentral:rRNA from 1 species
UACGAAGGGGGCUAGCGUUGCUCGGAAUUACUGGGCGUAAAGGGCGCGUAGGCGGCCAACUAAGUCAGACGUGAAAUCCCUCGGCUUAACCGGGGAACUGCCUCUGAUACUGGAUGGCUUGAGUUCGGGAGAGGGAUGCGGAAUUCCAGGUGUAGCGGUGAAAUGCGUAGAUAUCUGGAGGAACACCGGUGGCGAAGGCGGCCAUCUGGACCAGCACUGACGCUGAGGCACGAAAGCGUGGGGAGCAAACAGG